rnacentral:rRNA from 1 species
UACGUAGGGCGCAAGCGUUAUCCGGAAUUAUUGGGCGUAAAGGGCGCGUAGGCGGCCUUGCAAGUGACGGGUGAAAUCCCUCGGCUUAACCGAGGAACUGCCUGUCAAACUGCGUGGCUUGAGACCAGGAGAGGUGAGUGGAAUUCCCAGUGUAGCGGUGAAAUGCGUAGAUAUUGGGAGGAACACCAGUGGCGAAGGCGGCUCACUGGACUGGUACUGACGCUGAUGCGCGAAAGCGUGGGGAGCAAACA